GUCCGCGUGGCCUAGUGGCUAACGCUGCUGUUUUCGAAUUUUUCAUCGAGGGUUCGACCCCCACCGGGGUCA